rnacentral:rRNA from 1 species
AGAGUUCAGAGUACGUGAAACCGUUCAGGGGUAAACCUGAGAAACCCAAAAGAUCGAAUGGGGAGAUUCAUCGUCAGCUCAUUUUGUAUAUGUAUGAGUUAUGAUGUGNNAGUUACUCUUNNGNAGUAUUGCUNUGUACAUAUUUGUACAUUUAUAUGCAAGAUGUUGUCGGCGUGCACUUCUCCCCUAGUAGAACGUCGCGACCCGUUGGGUGUCGGUCUACGACCCAAANUGGUAGUCUUUAAUAUUNNUUCNNUAAUUUUAAAGACCAUUGGUGUANUUCUGACCGACUGCUUGGCGGUACUCGUACGGUAUUUAGCCGCAUNUUNANNNUUUGCGUCCAUGUCUAUCACAAGCGAGGCUAAUCUUUGGUAGUNAC